GGAAUAUGAGGUUGGAACCAACACACUGCUAGAAAAUAUUCUUAUAGCUGAGCUUUGGGGUUGGCUCCACUAUAGUUCUCUUUAUAACACCCAUGUGUGAAGGUCCCCAUUACAUUUUCUUUUGGUUGUUUCAUGUCCAAGUGCUUGUCUUGGCUGUUGUUUCCUUUUCUCUAUCGUCUUCAGCUUUGCUUCAUUUUCAAAUAUUCUAUA
rnacentral:lncRNA from 1 species